GGGAGCUUGCUCCUUGAUUCAGCGGCGGACGGGUGAGUAAUGCCUAGGAAUCUGCCUGGUAGUGGGGGACAACGUUUCGAAAGGAACGCUAAUACCGCAUACGUCCUACGGGAGAAAGCAGGGGACCUUCGGGCCUUGCGCUAUCAGAUGAGCCUAGGUCGGAUUAGCUAGUUGGUGGGGUAAUGGCUCACCAAGGCGACGAUCCGUAACUGGUCUGAGAGGAUGAUCAGUCACACUGGAACUGAGACACGGUCCAGACUCCUACGGGAGGCAGCAGUGGGGAAUAUUGGACAAUGGGCGAAAGCCUGAUCCAGCCAUGCCGCGUGUGUGAAGAAGGUCUUCGGAUUGUAAAGCACUUUAAGUUGGGAGGAAGGGCAUUAACCUAAUACGUUAGUGUUUUGACGUUACCGACAGAAUAAGCACCGGCUAACUCUGUGCCAGCAGCCGCGGUAAUACAGAGGGUGCAAGCGUUAAUCGGAAUUACUGGGCGUAAAGCGCGCGUAGGUGGUUUGUUAAGUUGGAUGUGAAAGCCCCGGGCUCAACCUGGGAACUGCAUCCAAAACUGGCAAGCUAGAGUACAGUAGAGGGUGGUGGAAUUUCCUGUGUAGCGGUGAAAUGCGUAGAUAUAGGAAGGAACACCAGUGGCGAAGGCGACCACCUGGACUGAUACUGACACUGAGGUGCGAAAGCGUGGGGAGCAAACAGGGAUUAGAUACCCUGGUAGUCCACGCCGUAAACGAUGUCAACUAGCCGUUGGAAUCCUUGAGAUUUUAGUGGCGCAGCUAACGCAUUAAGUUGACCGCCUGGGGAGUACGGCCGCAAGGUUAAAACUCAAAUGAAUUGGACGGGGCCCGCACAAGCGGUGGA
rnacentral:rRNA from 1 species